rnacentral:rRNA from 1 species
GGAAGAGGGCAAACCGGAGGAUUUAUUCUCCGGGGUUGUGGACUGACACAACGGAGCAAUAGGUUAGGCGAACGGUAUGGGAAGGCCGGCCACAGCGGGUGAGAGCCCCGUAGCCGAAAACUGAUUUGCUUUAGUCAGGAUCCAGAGUACCGCAGGACACGUGAAACCCUGUGGGAAACUGGGGGGACCACCCUCCAACCCUAAAUACUACUUGAUGACCGAUAGAGGAGCAGUACCGUGAGGGAAAGGUGAAAAGGACCCCGGGAGGGGAGUGAAAGAGAACCUGAAACCUUGUGCUUACAAGCACUCAAAGCUCGUUAACGAGUGAUGAGGUACUUUUUGUAGAACGGUCCGGCGAGUUAUUGUAUGUAGCAAGCUUAAGGUAUUCAGUACCGGAGGCGAAGCGAGAGCGAGUCUGAAUAGGGCGAAUUAAGUUGCAUGCAAUAGACCCGAAACCAGGUGACCUAUCCAUGGGCAGGUUGAAGUGGAGGUAAAACUCCAUGGAGGACCGAACCGACCCCCGUUGCAAUGGUGGCGGAUGACCUGUGGAUAGCGGAGAAAUUCUAAUCGAACUUGGAGAUAGCUGGUUCUCCCCGAAAUAGCUUUAGGGCUAGCGUUAGUUUAGAUUACCGGAGGUAAAGCACUGAAUGGGCUAGGGGCCGAUAAGGUUACUGAACCCUAUCAAACUCAGAAUGCCGGCUAAUUGAUGACUAGCAGUCAGACUACGUGAGAUAAGUCUCGUGGUCAAAAGGGAAACAGCCCAGACCUACAGCUAAGGUCCCAAAUGUACGCUAAGUGGAAAACGAUGUGGAAUUGCGAAAACAACCAGGAUGUUGGCUUAGAAGCAGCCACUCAUUAAAAGAGUGCGUAAUAGCUCACUGGUCGAGUGACUCUGCGCGGAAAAUGUAACGGGGCUAAGCGUACAACCGAAGCUUAGGAUGCAGCAAUGCGUGGUAGGGGAGCGUCGAAUGCGGGGUGAAGUCGCAGCGGAAGCAGCGGUGGACUGUAUUCGAGUGAGAAUGCCGGAAUGAGUAGCGAGAAUUAUGUGGGAAUCAUAAUGGCCGAAAAUCUAAGGUUUCUUGGGGAAGGUUCGUCCGCCCAAGGUAAGCCGGGAGCUAAGGCGAGGCCGAGAGGCGUAGUCGAUGCACAUACGGUUGAAAUUCCGUAGCCACCGAAACUUAAGCUAGAAGGACACUUGGAGCUAUCCAGACCCGGGCGUUGGUUGACCCGGGCGAAAGGGACCGAAAU